GGAGAAAUGGCAGAGUGGUCUAAUGCGGCGGUCUUGAAAACCGUUGUCCGGGUGACCGGACCGGGGGUUCGAAUCCCUCUUUCUCCGCUA
rnacentral:tRNA from 1 species